rnacentral:rRNA from 1 species
AUGGCUCAGGAUGAACGCUAGCUACAGGCUUAACACAUGCAAGUCGAGGGGCAGCAUGAGAUUAGCUUGCUAAUCUUGAUGGCGACCGGCGCACGGGUGAGUAACGCGUAUCCAACUUCCCCCUACUCAGGCAUAGCCCGGUGAAAACCGGAUUAACUCCUGAUAGUUUCACUAGAUGGCAUCUGACGGUGAAUAAAGCUCAGCGGUAAGGGAUGGGGAUGCGUCUGAUUAGCUUGUUGGCGGGGUAACGGCCCACCAAGGCGACGAUCAGUAGGGGUUCUGAGAGGAAGGUCCCCCACAUUGGAACUGAGACACGGUCCAAACUCCUACGGGAGGCAGCAGUGAGGAAUAUUGGUCAAUGGGCGCGAGCCUGAACCAGCCAAGUAGCGUGCAGGAUGACGGCCCUAUGGGUUGUAAACUGCUUUUGUAUGGGAAUAAAGUCAGGGACGUGUCCCUGUUUGCAUGUACCAUAAGAAUAAGGACCGGCUAAUUCCGUGCCAGCCGCCGC